AUUCCAGCUCCAAUAGCGUAUAUUAAAGUUGUUGCAGUUAAAAAGCUCGUAGUUGGAGUUCAGAGUGAGCUCAGCCGGUCCGCCUCAUGGGUGAGUACUGGUCGACUCUCUCUUGUUUGUGAAUCCCGCCCGGAGUUAAUUCUUCGGGAUGUGGAGUUCACAUCGUUUACCUUGAAAAAAUUAGAGUGUUCAAAGCAGGCGUUUGCUUGAAUAUAUUAGCAUGGAAUAAUGGAAUAGGACCCUGGUUCUAUUUUGUUGGUUUUGAGAACCAGAGUAAUGAUUAAUAGGGAUAGUUGGGGGCAUUCAUAUUUCAUUGUCAGAGGUGAAAUUCUUGGAUUUAUGAAAGAUGAACUUCUGCGAAAGCAUUUGCCAAGGAUGUUUUCAUUG
rnacentral:rRNA from 1 species